CGCGGCCUAUCAGCUUGUUGGUGGGGUGAUGGCCUACCAAGGCGGUGACGGGUAGCCGGCCUGAGAGGGCGACCGGCCACACUGGGACUGAGACACGGCCCAGACUCCUACGGGAGGCAGCAGUGGGGAAUAUUGCGCAAUGGGCGGAAGCCUGGCGCAGCGACGCCGCGUGGGGGAUGACGGCCUUCGGGUUGUAAACCUCUUUCGCCAGGGACGAAGAGCAAUUGACGGUACCUGGAGAAGAAGCACCGGCCAACUACGUGCAGCAGCCGCGGCAACACGUAGGGUGCGAGCGUUGUCCGGAAUUAUUGGGCGUAAAGAGCUCGUAGGCGGUGUGUCGCGUCGGCCGUGAAAACUUGGGGCUUAACUCUGAGCGUGCGGUCGGUACGGGCAUCACUUGAGUUCGGCAGGGGAGACUGGAAUUCCUGGUGUAGCGGUGAAAUGCGCAGAUAUCAGGAGGAACACCGGUGGCGAAGGCGGGUCUCUGGGCCGAUACUGACGCUGAGGAGCGAAAGCGUGGGGAGCGAACAGGAUUAGAUACCCUGGUAGUCCACGCCGUAGACGUUGGGCGCUAGGUGUGGGGACCAUUCCACGGUUUCUGUGCCGCAGCUAACGCAUUAAGCACCCCGCCUGGGGAGUACGGA
rnacentral:rRNA from 1 species